CGCCUGUCGUCUGACCGUUGGCCGCCGAAGUGGGGCGGAGUGGUCAAGAGCAGCCUGGCGGCGGCGGCGGCGGCUCGAGUCUUGGGCGCUUGACUCCUCAUCGACUGCUCUCUCCCUGCAACGCGCGAGUUAUUGGAUCUCCGCGUGCGUCAGGUGAUGCUCAGUGAGAAGCCUGACAAAUUCCCAACAUUUCGUUGCGAACCUUGGACCUUGAUACUCCCUUGUUUUAUUGGUGAAUAUGAACUGAACGACAAAUUGAAGGCCUUAGGCAGCUUUCUUCAGAAUCCUCCUUGUUUGGAGAAGCUUACUUUGGAGUGGUGCAUGCUUACAUCAUUUUCUGAUUUGGAGUGGGAGGUCAAAAGGAAGAACAACAUCAAAAGUUGAUGGAAGUCAUCGACGAUCAUGACCAUGAUCGCCGACUAAUUGAACUUGUGUGGAGCCUCGAGAGGAGGCUACCAGAUGUCAAACAUUGAACUUGCCAAGAAGGACAACUAAUCUGCGCAGUCCUUUUCUCUUUGCAGCCACUCCUGAGGCCCUUUAGAGGCAUGACUAGGGCAUGUGCCUUCCUUCUGCGUUAAACUCUAUGGUUUCACGGGAUACGGAUUCUGCUUAUGCUUAUAUGACAUGUUUAUGUUUAUAUGACAUGGAUCAAAACAUUUCGUUCCUGGCACAGAUGCCAUGUGAUGCAUUUGCAAUCUUAUAUCUCUGAUAAAGUUUCUGAAUUAGAUGGGUCUCUGGUAGUCUGGUAGCACCAUGGGCGAAUAGCUAGGGGGCCCUACUCAUUUUCUUUUCUCAGAACAAAAGAUUAGGUUCAUCAUUCUGCGUGAUAAAAAAGCAGAUGGAUUGUUCUGUUAGAAAGUUUGAACAGGAAUAAUUCGGUCAAAUGUGUAGAUCUUCCCAUGAUCAAUUUGAUAUGCAGAGCUAGAAAACAGAAAUGAUAGUAACUUCGCACAAAAAAUGGAUGAGCUAUCCUCAAAGUUGAUGAUCUGGUAGCUAGCCGUUCUAAGAAAAGGCAGCAGCCCACCCAGGCCUUCUUGAGCCCAGAAUACUGAGGCUCACCAGAACGGCCUCGAGCACUGAACCCUCUGGCUCGCUUGGACAGUCUCCAGCGGCAGCCGGCGGCCGGCGACAGAGGGAACGGCGGAGCGAGCAGCGCCCGUCCAGGUCGCGAGCUGCCAGUGGGGGCGGCCGGGCGAGGCGGCUUCCAGGAGCGGCGUGGCGGCGCAUGGGCAUCUAUGGAGUGAAUAACUUCUGUCACAUCAAUUUGCCAUCCAGCAAAUCUUGGCCUUCAGGAUCCAGGCAACCAGAUCUCUGACUUCCCGGCGAAAGCAGUCAAGCGUCUGCGGAGGAACUGGAGAUGGCGCAACCUGAGCCGAUGGCGAAGCGCAGCAUGGCAUGUAGCCAGGGUGUAGUUGGUGCUGUGGACCGGCUUAGCGCACUGCCGGAUGGGCUCAUCCACACCGUGUUCUCAUUCCUCCCAGCCCCGGAAGUCGUGCGGACAUGUCUGCUGUCACGGCGGUGGAGAAGCCUUUGGCGCUCUGCGCCCUGCAUCAACCUCGAUAUGCAUGACUUUGGGAUCCCCGUGGUGACCAUCCGUGAUGGUACCCUGGAGGAGAAGUGGGGGCCAGGUUUGAGGAUUUCGCCACCAAACUGCUGCUGUUCCAUGAUAAUACCUCGUCCUUGGGUGAAUUCCGGCUUUCAUCUCGCAUCUAUAACCAGCGUCAUGUGGACCAGUGGAUUCGCCGUGGCAUUGAGUACUGCCCUUCUGUGCUCAAAAUUCUGAUACUGAACUUUCCUCGCUUCAAGUUCCCACCAAUAGUGGGCUCAAAUUUUUGUCAUCUUAAGACGCUGCACCUUCGCAAAGUGGAUUUGGGUAGCCAUUUCGCGGGCCUGCUCUGUUCUAACUGCCCUGUCGUGGAAGAUUUGGAGCUUACCAGCUGUGACUUUUCUGGCAAUUCUUCUCAAGGCAUUACAUCAUCCUCACUAAAAAAUUUGGCAUUAGUCUAUUGUUUGAACAGCACAGAUUAUUCGUUGGUGAUCACAGUUCCUAGCCUUGCAAACCUGCGUCUCAUUUAUGGAUGCUACAAAUCUGGUAUUUCUUUAUGCAAGAUGGAUUCCCUUGUCAAGGCAGAGAUUGAUGUUGCAGAAUACGAAACAACGUUGCCUCAGCAUUCCCAGCGUGAGCUUCUUUGUAACCUCUACAAUGUGACUAGCUUAAAAUUGGUGGGUUUUGAAGUGGAGGGGAUGCUGAACGAAGAAUCUGAUAAAUUCCCAAUAUUUCAUAAUAUGCGAACCUUGGACCUUCAUAGCUGUUUUCUUGAUGAUUAUGAACUGUACGAAAAAUUACUGGCUUUAGGGAGCUUUCUUUGUAGUGUGCCUUGUUUGGAGAAGCUUAUUUUGAAGUGUUGCAUGUUCUAUCCUGUCUUCUGAUUCAGACUGGGAGAUAGAAAGGAAAAAUAUCACUCUGCGCCGCCAGGAUGGAAAGACUUUCCAGUGUCCAAAGCUGAAGUUGAUAGAAGUCAUCUACAAGCACGAUAUUAAUCACCAACUAAUUGAACUUUUGUGGAGCCUCGGGAGGAGCCUACCAGACGCCAGCAUCAAACUUAAGAAAAUCUGAGUUGUUGAUCACCAACUAAUUGAACUUUUGUGGAGCCUCGGGAGGAGCCUACCAGAUGCCAGCAUCAAACUAUAGAAAAUCUGAGUUGUUGAUCACCGACUAAUUGAACUUUUGUGGAGCCUCACGAGGUGCCUACCAGACGCCAGCGUCAAACUUAAGAAAAUCGAGUUGUUGAUCACAAGCUACUUGAACUUUUGUGGAGCCUCGGGAGGAGCCUACCAGACGCCAGCACCAAACUUAAAAUCGAGUUGUUUCAUGCCUAGCACAUUUCUUUGUGCAAUCUUCUGUGAGGCAUUUGUCUUUGCACAUUUCUUAGCAUAUCGAGCGGAUGUGCAUGUGCGCUGCGAGGGCAUGAAUUGGCCACUGGUGUUCCAUUAUGUAUUGAACUUGCGUGAUGUAGGGUAUGUUUAUUCAGACAUGAGUACUGAGUUUUAAAAUUACAUUUAUGGUUCCUGGUUGGGUUCAAUUUU